rnacentral:rRNA from 1 species
UACGUAGGGUGCGAGCGUUGUUCGGAAUCACUGGGCGUAAAGGGCGCGUAGGCGGCCGAUCAAGUCGGGGGUGAAAGCCUGUGGCUUAACCACAGAAUGGCCUUCGAUACUGUUUGGCUUGAGACCGGAAGAGGUUAGUGGAACUGCGAGUGUAGAGGUGAAAUUCGUAGAUAUUCGCAAGAACACCAGUGGCGAAGGCGGCUGACUGGUCCGGUUCUGACGCUGAGGCGCGAAAGCGUGGGGAGCAAACAGG